rnacentral:rRNA from 1 species
ACUGGUAUUGCCUAGUAACGGCGAGUGAAGCGGCAACAGCUCAAAUUUGAAAUCUGGCCCCCCGGCCCGAGUUGAAAUUUGGAGAGGAUGCUUUUGGCGCGGCGCCGUCCGAGUUCCUUGGAACAGGACGCCACAGAGGGUGUGAGCCCCGUACGGACGGACGCCUAGCCUCUACAAAGCUCCUUCGACGAGUCGAGUAGUUUGGGAAUGCUGCUCAAAAUGGGAGGUAAAUUUCUUCUAAAGCUAAAUACCGGCCAGAGACCGAUAGCGCACAAGUAGAGUGAUCGAAAGAUGAAAAGCACUUUGAAAAGAGGGUUAAAAAGUACGUGAAAUUGUUGAAAGGGAAGCGCCUGUGACCAGACUUGCGCCCCGUGGACCACCCGGCGUUCUCGCCGGUGCACUCCGCGGGGCGCAGGCCAGCAUCGGUUUUCCUAGGGGGACAAAGGCCGCGGGAACGUAUCUCCUUCGGGAGUGUUAUAGCCCGCGGCGGCAUGCCCCUGGGGGGACCGAGGACCGCGCUUCGGCAAGGAUGCUGGCGUAAUGGUCACCAGCGACCCGUCUUGAAAACACGGACCAAU